rnacentral:rRNA from 1 species
AUUGAACGCUGGCGGCAGGCCUAACACAUGCAAGUCGAACGAGUGGCGGACGGGUGAGUAAUGUCUGGGAAACUGCCUGAUGGAGGGGGAUAACUACUGGAAACGGUAGCUAAUACCGCAUACCAUCAGAUGUGCCCAGAUGGGAUUAGCUAGUAGGUGGGGUAAUGGCUCACCUAGGCGACGAUCCCUAGCUGGUCUGAGGAUGACCCGCCACACUGGAACUGAGAAACGGUCCAGACUCCUACGGGAGGCGUCAGUGGGGAAUAUGGCACAAGGGGCGAAAGCCUGAUGCAGCCAGGCCGCGGGUUGGAAGAGGGCCUUCGGGUUGUAAAGCACUUUCAGCGGGGAGGCGUUACUCGCAGAAGAAGCACCGGCUAACUCCGUGCCAGCAGCCGCGGUAAUAC